rnacentral:rRNA from 1 species
CGGCGGACGGGUGAGUAACGCGUGGGGAACCUGCCCUAUACAGGGGGAUAACAGUUAGAAAUGACUGCUAAUACCGCAUAAGCGCACGGAGCCGCAUGGCGCUGAGUGAAAAACGAUAGUGGUAUAGGAGGGACCCGCGUCUGAUUAGGUAGUUGGUGGGGUAACGGCCCACCAAGCCGACGAUCAGUAGCCGACCUGAGAGGGUGACCGGCCACAUUGGGACUGAGACACGGCCCAAACUCCUACGGGAGGCAGCAG